GAGAGAGGGCAUUGGAGUAACUGGCACAGCAAGGUUGCCGAGGCAGGACGUGACAGGAAUUGUCUUUUGCACAGUUAUGGAGAUGUUUCCUCCUCACCACAUCAGUAAUGGUAUCCACAGUUGUCUACCCACGGAAGAUCUGCUCUGGAAUGUAAGAGCACUGUGACCCCUGUGGAUACUCUACAGAAAAAGAGAGCGAUGGAGUAAUAGGGAAAAUAAAGAGACAAGGUAGGGACUCUGCCAUACUAGCCUCCAGUGGAUGCUGGUUCCAAAAUUGAGGAAUCAGGACAGAGAAGAGUCUUGACUGCGUGGAUCGGGAGGUGGCUUCCCAAAGGCAUGGGACGACCAGGAGGCAAGACAAGGAUGAACAAAGAGCUGUGGGAUCCGCAACGGAAGAAAACGGUGGUGCCUCAAAGCCAUUGUGGUAUAUGAUUGAUGAGACAAGAAACUUGGCCCAAAUGACCUGAAACCUCCCAACCCAACUCAACAUUCCAGCAGGAAUUCCCAGCCUCUGCCACAGAGGCAUUCCCCUUUUUAUAAGAACUUGUGGUCGGACCUUCUCUAGUCAAUUUGACAGCCUG
ensembl:lncRNA